rnacentral:rRNA from 1 species
UACGUAGGGAGCUAGCGUUGUCCGGAAUCAUUGGGCGUAAAGCGCGCGUAGGCGGCCCGGUAAGUCCGCUGUGAAAGUCAAAGGCUCAACCUUUGAAUGUCAGCGGAUACUGCCGGGCUAGAGUCCGGAAGAGGCGAGUGGAACUCCUGGUGUAGCGGUGGAAUGCGCAGAUAUCAGGAGGAACACCGAUGGCGAAGGCAGCCUCCUGGGCCAGCACUGACGCUCAUGCACGAAAGCGUGGGGAGCAAACAGG